rnacentral:lncRNA from 1 species
CCAAGAUCCGAACCCACAAACCCAGACCACUACAGCAGAGCAUGCAGGACUUUAACCACUUGGUGACGAAGCCAGGCCGAAUUUUUUGUUUUUUUUUUUUUACUUUACGACUAUGCAUAGACCACAGGCUGAUAAAUUUCUCCUUCAUUCUCUUUGAAUGGGGCAAUUCCCACUCAGCUGGCUAUUUUCCCCAGAAUAGUAUAGGAGGAAUAUUUUUGACUGUCUUCCUUAUUAACUCAAAAAGUCCCUUCAGCCUCCUCCCUUAGGAAUUGAGUGAAAAGUUGGAUGUUGGAUGAAGAAUUUAUCUGAGAGGAAAUUUCUGGGGCUUGGGGAAUAUUCGACUGUGGAAUUCUGUUUCUGAGUUUCUCCGUGAACGCAGGAACAUCUUCAUUGUUUUUUAGUGUAUGCUUUAUGCUUUCAAGUUUGGGGAAUGUCCACGUCUUGGAUUUCAGCACAUAGUCACUUGUCAGUUGCCCACUUUGGUGAGAAGAUGAGUAGCAAUGAAUCAUCUCCUUCUUCUUUUUGGUGGAUAGCUGUAUAAUUUCUCCUGAAUUGGGCCUAUUGCUGAAAAGUCAGCUCACGUCCGUAUAUCAUCUCUCCUGUUUGGAAGCUGGACCAGAGAAGACAAUGGUAAAGUUUCCCCUGUGCCAUCCAACUUCCCCACUCACCAUCUUGUUUCGGGGACCAUCCUGUGAAGGCACAGCAUAAACCUCGAAGAGGGAUGUUUCAAGCAUUAGUCAGGGAGCAAGGAUGACUCUGUGGCCCUUCAAGGUGUCUGUGAAACCAAGGCAAUGAGAAAGUAUGUGCGGGAGACAUCUGCAUGGGCACACCCCAAUAACCUGGAAAUAAGGGAAAUAUGAUUGCCUUCUGGCACUUAUACUGUGAAGUCAACACAAAAUGGGUCAUAGCAGAGUCCUGCAGAGCCGCCUUAAGGAAGUGAAAUGCCUUCCAGGUUUUGUCUGGGUGGCCAAAGGAACCAAGAGGAUUAUCUGUACUCUGAAGUCACACUUUUCCCAAAUAUCCCAUGGUAAGGACUUAUUCUGCAGUUACCUCCACUGUCUGCCGGCUUGCCUGUAAAAAGGAGGAGAAAUUGCAGAAAAGCAUGAACAGGCUGGAGGCAGCAGAGAGGAGUAGAAAUAACAGGGGCCUGAACAACGGAAGUUUUGGGUUCUCAGUCUGAUGAUAUGCUCACUGUCACCCCAAACUACCACAUCUUCGAGUCGUUGCUCCAUGUAGAGUGCUCCUCUCCCUGAAAGCGUAGACGAGAGACAUGGAGUAAAGUGUGGGCUCUGGAGCCACUGCCAGGACUGGAAGCCUCGUUCUACCCCUUUCUAGCUGUGUGAUCAUGGGAACAUUAGAAAACCGCUCCUUGCUCCUAUUCCCUAACCUGUAAAAGAUAACCAUAAUUAAACAUACCUUCCUGGUACGUUGUGAGGACUUAAUGCACAAAUUCAUAUAAAGUUCUUUGAAGAGUACCUGCAUUAUGACAAUGCUCAAAAAUGUUAGCAUUUAUUAUAAUUAGACCCCUCCUCCAUUCCAAAAUGCCCCUCAUUGCACGCUUAGCGAGCUCCUACUAAUCCUUCAAGUUUCUGCUUAAAUGUUUCCUCCUCUAAGAAGCCUUCCACAGCCAUCCCUUCCUCUCCCUAAACAGGGUUGAUACUUCCCCUUCUCUGAGGCUGUGCUAGGCACUGUUAAUACAGAGUUGCCUAAGAGUUAGCCACUGUCCCCACAUUGCACACAGUCUAGGAAGACAUGACAAGCUCUGUAAUAAGGUAGCACUCAGCACCAAGGAGGUUUCCUGCUCAGAGGUCGGUCAUUUCUCAAACUGUAUAAAACCCAAGGGCAACCUCUGAGACUGUAUUAGCUGUGUCUAGUUUUUCCUCUCUUUUCUUUUUCUCCACUUUGGUUCAUUCCCCAAACUUUCAUUUUACUUUCCAGUCUCCCUUCCUUUUUUCUCUUACCCUUCUUUCCUGUCUCUUGGGUUUUAUUCUCUCCUUUUCUCUCACUGGAUCUGCACUGCUUGUGGAAGAAGGAGAGCGCCUGGGGCAGUCUUCCUAGAAGAGAUAGUACACAAACUGAUCCUCAAGGCAGAGGGAGAUUUAGAUAAGGAACCGAGGAGUAAGGGGCACAGAUGGAGCAGGAAGGAACAGGCAGAAGGAACAUCAAAUGUGAGGUGUCUGAGAAGAAGGCAUGAAGGAAAGCACGUGCAACGAUGGUAUUUACUGAAAAAUGCAUGAAUUUCAGGCAACUCUGGGAUGUCCCAAGGUGAAGUGGGAUUGAUGAGAGAGGGGGUAAUUCGGGCAUUCCACAAUACGAUUGGAUUGUAUUCUCUAUGGGAUGGGUUCUAAAUUGAGAUUCUAAGGAAGAAGUUGACAUGAUUCUCUUUUCACGUUAGAAAGAUCACUGUGUGUAGGAUGGAUUGAAGGAGACUAGCUUGAUUCAGGCCAUGAAGUUAUGCUACUGAAACCAUCUGAGCAAGAGGUGCUGAUACGUCGAGGAUGUUGGCAAGAUGGUGCAGUGGUUAAGCAUGUAAGCUCUGCUUGUUCCCUGGGUUCUGCCAUUCAUAGAUGCCAAGCAAAGAGGUGACUGUCAAUGUCUCACACUCCCCACCAAACUUCUUAACACUUGAAAAAUGGGCUUUUGUUUCAGGUGGUCAACUCCUUACCAUAAAGAAACAAAGAAUCAGAGAUCUGCACAAUAGUUUACCAUCUGAGUUCAUAGGUAAGAAACACGAGGCCUACAUAUUUAUUUAUUCAUUUAUUGAUUCAAUAUACUUGUACUGAAAGCCUGCUAUGUGUCAGGCACUGGAUGAGAGUGGCAUAUCAGAGACCAAGACAGACAAAGUUCUUGUUCUCUUAGAGUCCACAUUAGUGAUGGUAAAGCACACAAGAAACACAUGAAUGUAAAUUAUUAUAUCAAGUAGUGAUACAUGCUAUGAAACAAUAAAGGUAAGGGGAUAGAGUUUGAUUAGAGAGGCAAAUUUGUAUAAGAUAGACAGGCAAGGCACCUAUGAGAAGGAGAAAUUUGAUCUUGAAUGAAGUAAGAGAGACAGCCAUGCAAAUGUUGGGAAGGAGUGUUCCAGACUGAAGGAAUGGCAGGUGCAAAGGGCCUGAGGCAGGAGCAUACCUGGUUCCAUGAGGAUCAGCAAAGAGGCCAGUGUGGCUGGAGCAGAAGGGUCAGGGUAGAGGGUAGCAGGAGAAUAGUCAAUGAGAUAGAUGCCGGAUCAUGAGACACCUUCUAGACCAGUGGCUUGCAUUUAUUUUUUAAGUGUCACGGGAGGCCAUUGGAAUAACAACAACAAAAUCAUAUGAUUUGACAUGACAUAUGUUAAUGGAUUACUUUCGUUGCUUAUGGAAAAUAGACUUGCAGAGCAUAACGGAUAGAGGAAACUCUAUUUGGAGUUUAUUAUAGUAGUCAAGGGAGAAAUUGUGGCAGAUUGGACUAGGGCUAUGUGUGGAAAUAGUGAGAAGAGGUAGGAUUCCAGAUGUAUUGUUGAAGAUGGUCCUGACAGAAUUUGUUAUUAGCAUUGAUAUGGAGUGGGAGAAACAGAGAGAAGAAUUAAGGAUAAUUCCAGGGUUUGUUCUGAGCUACUAGAUAAAAGUGGUGGUGCUUUAAGUUUGAGGGGGAAAUUUAAAAGGAGUUCAGUUUUAGACGUGACAAAUUUGAGAUGCCUAGUAGAUACCCCCGUGACGAUGAUAAGUAGGCAGGUGGGCAUACAAAUUUGGGGCUCAGUAAAGAGGUUAGGAAUGCAGAUGCAAAUGCAAAUUUGGGAGUCACUACCAAAUAUUGAGUCGGGGCACUGGAUAUGAGCACAGAUGGAGAAAAGAAGUUCUAAGGACUGAAUCCAGUACUAUUCUGACAGUUUGAAGUUGAAAAAAGGAAGAAAAUCUAGCAAAAGUAACUAAGAAGCAACCAGUAACAGAGGGGGAAAUGGAGGAGAGUGAAGAAAGUUUCAAGAAGGGAGUAGAUUAUAAAAAUGUUAGUGUGAAAUGAGGCUUUUCCCUCCCCUGUCAUAAAUCAUGUAAUACCAACAAGGAGGAUGAAAAAAAAGCUGUAAACCGCAUCUUUAAGGGAACUAGCGGACAGCUGCAACCACAAAACAGGUCAAAGGGUGCCAAAUGCAUUGCCAUAUUGGUCAGGACUGUGGGAGAAAGCAGAAAGGUGAAACCCAUGGCUGAGUAUCUCAGAAAAAGCAAUCAGAGUGCACUUGUCAGGGAGGGGACAAGCACGUCCCAAGGAAGGGACACGCUGAGGCGCAUACCCAGGUCCCUGGACACACAUCCAGCAAUGGGAGCUCCCUCAGAGGCUGUUUGAUCAAGAAACCCUAGGGGCAGAACUGAAAGAGAAAUCGCUCAAGGAGCACAGGGAAGCAGAGGAGCUUUACAUUUUGAACAGUCCUGCAUAUGCCUGUCUCUCUUCUGCAGAAAGAAAUAAAGGCUAAAAGAACUCACAAACACAACACUGGACCAUAAGGAAACUCCUGCUAACCUUGAGAAUUUCUCUGUUCCUUCACCACAACCAGGUCCUGCAAACGGCUGGUGCAGGAAAAAGUCAACUGCUUAAGAUAAAUCAUCAAAAAGGUACCUUAUAGCAUAAGCACUAUAUGGAAACUAGAAGAAAGGAACAAACAACAACAACAAAAGAAUGGAACAGAGAAAACACAUGGCAUAUAAGGAACACUCAUCAGAAAAACAUAGCUACAGAGAAAAUGAAAAUCGUGAUCAAACAUUGCAUUGUAAUGUGGUGGUACUGUAGAUUGGCUAAUUCAAUGUCCACUCCACUCUCUUCCAGCCUUUCUAGCUGGCUGAGAAACACAAAGUAUCAUUUCUCAGACUCCUCUGUAGCUAGAGUUCUGCCUAUGACAAAGAUCCACUAAGCAAAAUCACCCACCUGUGAUUUCUAGAAGGAAGGAAAUAAUGGGAUCCACAUACGGAGAAGCUGAUCUUGUGUCAAGCACAGGGAGUGAGGCUGUGGUUCUGUGACGCUGGGGCAGUUUCUAGUGUAUGGUCCCCAGUGUCUUAGGCACUGAGCAAGGGAGAUAGCAGCAAUCGGUUCCUGCUAGAACAUUGCCAGAGUGUGGUUGGGCACUCUCCUGGUUGUGCAGUACCCAAGCCUGGUUCCCUAGCUCUCCAGGAGAUUUCAUGAGCUACCAGAUAUCCCUUAAUAAACUCCUUUGGCUUUAACCAUCUAGUGUAAGUUCUGUUUCCUGCAAGUAAACACACUGAGCCAUAGUCAUAGAUUUAAAAAAGAGAAAGCCUAACGAAACAAUUGCCGCUGUUUAACAAAUGCACAAAGCAAAAUACACAAAAGUGAGGAAUAGAUAAUGAUAAAACAGAAAGACAUAAAACAUGAGCUGCAAAGAUCAAGAAAGGGAAAACAUAAAUGAAGGUCAAAUUUGAUAUAAAUGCUAUCAAGUCAUAUAUACAUAGCGCAUUUUAGUUUUCCAUUCAUCUGUCAGUGGACACUUAGGUUGUCUCCAGGUCUUGGCUAUUAUGAAUAAUGCUGCAAUGAAAAUGGGGGCGCAGAUAAUCUCUUUGAGAUAGUUAUUUCUUUCAGAUAUAUACCCAGAAGUGGCGAUUGCUGGAUCAUAUGGUACUUCUACUUUUAAUUUUUUGAGGAACCUCUGUACUCCAUAAUGGCUGCACCAAUUUACAUUCCCAUCAACAAUGCACAAGUGUUGCCUUCUCCCCACAGCCUCGCGUACACUUGUUGCCUCUUUGUGAUAAUUGUUAUUCUAACAGGUGUGGGGUGAUAGCUCAUUGUGGUUUGGAUUUGCAUUUCCACUAAUGAUAACAUUAGUGAUCUUGAGAAUCUUUUCACGAACCUGUUGGCUAUUUGUACAUCUUCUUUGGAAAAUGUCUAUUCAAAUCCUUUCCCCAUUUUUAAAUUAGAUUGUUUGGUUUUGUUGCUAUGGAGUUGUAUGAAAUCCUUAUAUAUUUUAAAUACUAACCCUUUAUCAGAUAGAUGGUUUGCAAAUAUUUUUUCCCAUUCCACAGAUUGCCUUUUCAUUUUUUUAUUGUGUCUUUUGCUGUUCAGAGGGAUUUUGUUUUGUUUUUUGGGGGGGGAAGAUUAGCCCUGAGCUAACAUCUGCUGCCAAUCCUCCUCUUUUUGCUGAGGAAGACUGGCCUUGAGCUAACAUCCGUGACCAUCUUUCUCUACUUUAUAUGUGGGACGCCUACCACAGGAUGGCUGGCCAAGAGGUGCCAUGUCUGCACCCAGGAUCCUAACCAGCAAACCCUGGGCCAACAAAGCAGAGCAUGCGCACUCAACAGCUGCACCACCAGGCUGGCCCCUGUUCAGAAGGUUUUUAAUUUGAUGUAGUCCCGUUUAUUUAUUUUUGCUCUUGUUGCUUGUACUUUUGGUACCAUAUCCAAAAAAAUCAUUGCCGAGAUGAAUGUCAAGGAGCUUUUUUCCUAUGUUUUUUUCUAGGAUGUUUACAGUUUCCGGUCUUAUGUUUAGUCUUUAAUACAUUUCGAGUUACUUUUUGUGAGUGGUGUAAGAUAGGGGCCCAAUUUCGUUCUUUUGCAUGCGAUUAUCCAGUUUUCCCAAUACCAUUUAUUGAAGAUACUAUCCUUUCCCCAUUGAGUCCCUUGACUCCUUUGUCAAAUAUUAGCUGACUGUAUAUGCAAGGGUUACUUUCUGUGUUCUCUAUUCCAUUCCAUUGGUGCACGUAUCUGGUUUUAUGCCUGUACCAUACUGCUUUGAUUCCCAUAGCUUUGUAAUACAGUUCGAGAACAGGAAGCGUGACUCCUCCACCUUUGUUCUUUCUCAAGAUUCCUCCUUGCUCAAGAUUGCUUUGGCUUUUCACGUUUUUUUGUGGUUCCAUACAAAUCUUAGGAUUGUGUUUUCUAUUUCUGGGAAAAUGUCAUUGUAAUUUUGAUAGGGAUGGAAUUGAAUUUAUAGAUGGUUUUGGGUAGUUGGACAUUUUAACAAUAUUAAUUUUUCUGAUCCAUUAACAUGGAUCAUCUUUCCGUUUAUUUGUGUCUUGUUCAAUUUCUUUAUCAAAGUCUUGUAAUUUUCAGUAUACAGACUUUCAUACCCCUGGUUAAAUUUAUUCCUAAAUAUUUUAUUUUUUAUGCUAUUGUAAAUAGGAC